UACGUAGGGAGCAAGCGUUGUCCGGAAUCAUUGGGCGUAAAGCGCGCGUAGGCGGCCUCAUAAGUCCGCUGUGAAAGUCAAAGGCUCAACCUUUGAAAGCCGGUGGAUACUGUGGGACUAGAGUACGGAAGAGGCGAGUGGAAUUCCCGGUGUAGAGGUGAAAUUCGUAGAUAUCGGGAGGAACACCGGUGGCGAAGGCGGCGACCUGGGUCGAGACUGACGCUGAGGCGCGAAAGCGUGGGGAGCAAACAGG
rnacentral:rRNA from 1 species